AAAGUAAGAAAGGGCGUAUGGCGGAUGCCUAGGCUCACAGAGGCGAUGAAGGACGUGAUAAGCUGCGAUAAGCUUCGGGUAGGUGCAAAUAACCUUUGAUCCGAGGAUUUCCGAAUGGGACAACCCAUACAUUUGAAGAAUGUAUAUCUCUACCUAAGGUAGAGAGGCAAACCGAGGGAACUGAAACAUCUUAGUACCUCGAGGAAGAGAAAAUAAAUAAUGAUUCCCCCAGUAGUGGCGAGCGACCGGGGAAGAGCCCAAACCGUCGUUGUUUCGGCAUCGGCGGGGUAGUAGGACCGCGAUAUUGUAUGUGUUUUGUGAGUAGAAUGUUCUGGAAAGAACAACCAUAGGAGGUGAAAGUCCUGUAUACGAAGCGAAACAUGGCAUAGCGGUAUCCUGAGUAGCGCGGAGCACGAGGAAUUCUGCGUGAAUCAGCCGGGACCAUCCGGUAAGGCUAAAUACUCCUGUGAGACCGAUAGUGAACGAGUACUGUGAAGGAAAGGUGAAAAGCACUCCGAUGAGGAGAGUGAAAUAGUUCCUGAAACCAUACGCCUACAAGCGGUCGGAGCUCAGCAAUGAGUGACGGCGUGCCUUUUGCAUAAUGAACCUACGAGUUACCGUCUCUGGCAAGGUUUAGUAUCUCAGAUACGUAUCCGCAGUGAAAGCGAGCCUGAAAUGGGCGUAUAGUCAGAGGGGGUAGACGCGAAACCAAGUGAUCUACACUUGGCCAGGUUGAAGUUCCGGUAACACGGAAUGGAGGACCGAACGGAUAAGCGUUGAAAAGCUUCCCGAUGAGCCGAGUGUAGGAGUGAAAGGCCAAUCAAACUUGGAGAUAGCUCGUACUCCCCGAAAUGCAUUUAGGUGCAGCGUGUAUCGAUCCGCAUGAGAGGUAGAGCGACCGAUAGGUCAAGAGGGCUUCACCGCCUAUCGAGACCUGACGAACUCCGAAUGCUCAUGCGCCGCAGAUAUGCAGUAAGGGGGCGGGUGCUAAGGUCCGUCCCCGAGAGGAGAAGAAUCCAGACCGCCAACUAAGGCCCCGAAAUUCUGUCUGAGUUAGUCUAACGAAGUCUGGUCCCUAUGACAGCUAGGAUGUUGGCUUGGAAGCAGCCAUUCAUUCAAAGAGUGCGUAACAGCUCACUAGUCGAGGGUCCGGGCAUGGAUAAUAAUCGGGUAUAAGGCAGAUGCCGAAGUUGCGGGAUAGUAAUAAUAAAAGUAUCGGUAGGGGAGCAUUCCAUCGGCGCAGAAUGCAAAGGAUGACCUUUGCUGGAGCUUAUGGAAAAGCAAAUGUAGGUAUAAGUAACGAUAAAAGGGGUUAGAUUCCCCUUCGCCGCAAGACCAAGGUUUCCCGGGCAAUGCCAAUCAGCCCGGGGUUAGUCAGGUCCUAAGUCUCAGCCGAACGGCGAUGGCGAUGGCAGAAACGGUUAAUAUUCCGUUACUGCCGCAUGGAGUGAUGUGGAGACGGAGCAGUGACACUACCGCGGAGAUACGGAAUUCUCCGUUGAAGGGUGUAGGCGUAGAUUGAGGCAGGCAAAUCCACCUUGAGAGCCGAACCUGAUAGUAUGGAGUCUUCUUCGGAAGAGUCCAAUAGCGUAGGUAAUCAUACUUCCUAGAAAAUCCGCUAAACUUAAUCCAUGCGGCACCUGUACCGCAAACGGACACACGUGGUCGGGUAGAACAUACUAAGGCGUUGAGAGAUUCUUGGUUAAGGAACUAGGCAAAUUGACCCUGUAACUUCGGGAUAAAGGGUCCUCACAGCAAUGUGAGGCGCAGAGAAUAGGUCCAGGCAACUGUUUAACAAAAACACAGGGCUGUGCAAACUCGAAAGAUGAGGUAUACAGCCUGACACCUGCCCGGUGCCGGAAGGUUAAGAGGAGAAGUCAGUAGCAAUAUGAAGC
rnacentral:rRNA from 1 species